rnacentral:rRNA from 1 species
AUUGAACGCUGGCGGCAUGCCUUACACAUGCAAGUCGAACGGCAGCAUGAUCUAGCUUGCUAGAUUGAUGGCGAGUGGCGAACGGGUGAGUAAUACAUCGGAACGUGCCCUGUAGUGGGGGAUAACUAGUCGAAAGAUUAGCUAAUACCGCAUACGACCUGAGGGUGAAAGUGGGGGACCGCAAGGCCUCAUGCUAUAGGAGCGGCCGAUGUCUGAUUAGCUAGUUGGUGAGGUAAAGGCUCACCAAGGCGACGAUCAGUAGCUGGUCUGAGAGGACGAUCAGCCACACUGGGACUGAGACACGGCCCAGACUCCUACGGGAGGCAGCAGUGGGGAAUUUUGGACAAUGGGCGAAAGCCUGAUCCAGCAAUGCCGCGUGUGUGAAGAAGGCCUUCGGGUUGUAAAGCACUUUUGUCCGGAAAGAAAAGGCUCUGGUUAAUACCUGGGGUAGAUGACGGUACCGGAAGAAUAAGGACCGGCUAACUACGUG